rnacentral:lncRNA from 1 species
GGCCACUACGCAUGCGGACAGCCCACUCCAAGGAAGGCUCACUGGAGAAGAGACGCAACCUCUGGAAGCUUGCCAACAUAUUAAACCCCAAGUCAAAGGCUAAACCACACACUUGAAUCUCUCAAGUUGCUCAUUUGGCCCUCUUCCAGGUUAGGCUUGAGUCUGCAUCCCAUGCCAACUUUGGAGAAGAAAGAUUCUUCUUUGUUUGAACUGCAGAUCUCUUCCUUUGGCUUCUUGCUAUCUCUAAAUCUGCAGACCCUGUGCAAAUGGAAUCCGCUGAGAAGGCUUUGACUAUAUAGGGUGCUGGCAGAUGCUUACACUUUCUUAUUUAGGCAAAUUGGACAAUCACAAAAAUGCAAAGACGGGAAAGAUGGUAUGGCUUUUGGCAAUGUAAGUGGAAAAUAAAACUGUGCCGGCUGAAAUGGUUUCUUUCUGUAGGUAUAAUAUUUCUUUUAAAAAGUCUGAAAGAGCUCAUAUAUGGCAAAAAAAAUGUAUCUCCACAUUUUUCUCUAUGCCAAUCAGAAAC